GACAGAGGGUGCAAACGUUGUUCGGAAUUACUGGGCGUAAAGCGAGUGUAGGCGGUUUCCUAAGUCAGGUGUGAAAGCCCCGGGCUCAACCCGGGAAGUGCACUUGAAACUGGGAGGCUAGAGUAUCGGAGAGGUUGGUGGAAUUCUCGGUGUAGAGGUGAAAUCGUAGAUAAUUCGAGAGGAACACCGGUGGCGAAGGCGGCCAACUGGACGAAUACUGACGCUGAGACUCGAAAGCGUGGGGAGCAAACAGG
rnacentral:rRNA from 1 species